AAGACUAUACUUUCAGGGAUCAUUUCUAUAGUUUCUGACUUGAGAAAUGUGUUUCUAAAGGGUUUGGUCUCGCUAACCACGAUGAUGAGUCGUGAUAUUCCCUUCUGAGUGUGAAGCUGACAGAGAGUAAUGUUUUAGUUCAUCUGUUCUUUGUCAUUGAUGAUUGUUCUGUACUUCUUUAUGGAGUACUGAGGAAGGGAAUAUGAUCAGAGUGGUA
ensembl:snoRNA